CGCAUUUUCGGAAUAAAAAUCUAGGAUAAAUCAUUUUUUAAAUUAAAAUCCAUCGUUCCUAUUAUCAGGAACAAAAUGAAGACUGCGAAUGAACGAUGGUCGCUUUUCGCACGACGACGGCUUUCAUGAUCUGACAUACGUACACGUCCAAGCCUAAGCAAAGCACUAACUCGAGAACUGGUUUUGCCGCGGAAUAUCCGAGUCAGCGAACAAAGAAGACGGCAUCGAUUACGAUUAUGGUAUCCAAGAGAUGAGAUGAUAUCCAAAAAUAUCAAGAGAUACAAUAAUGGGAGAAAAAACCGCGAUGAGAGAUAUUUACGGAUACGACAGCAGGACUGGAAGUAAUCGCGUGGCAUCAAUAUUAGCCCGGUCUGGUCAAGAAUAGCCCAGGUGGGAAUCCCGUCUGACCACCUUGCGCCCUGAGAUCGGUCGGCGUCUAAAUUAGGGUGAAUGUGCCGUUGGAGGCAUAUUUUGCAUAUAUUAUCGUUAUUCGGUUAUCGAGUGGCCAUAUCGUAAUGCGAUUGCUAAUAAUCAACGCGAUUUUUGUUACGCGAGCUACGCAUAAUAUCACUGUAAAUUUAACGAAAACAAAGCAGGAUUAAAUAAAAUCGCACAUUGCAUUAUAUGGUAUAUGUAUAUAUCACUUAAUGCAAGUUAUUUAUAUAUAGAGAGAAACAACGUUAAUUUAUAGAGAAAUAUGUAGAAACUUUUCCAAUAAAACAAAUUGUGUGUAUCUCACCGUUUACAAUAUCAGGAGAAACAAUAUAUCUUAU